GACGAACGCUGGCGGCGUUCUUAACACAUGCAAGUCGUACGGUAAGGCCCUUUCGGGGGUACACGAGUGGCGAACGGGUGAGUAACACGUGAGUAACCUGCCCACAACUUUGGGAUAACGCUAGGAAACUGGUGCUAAUACUGGAUAUGUGCUCCUGCUGCAUGGUGGGGGUUGGAAAGCUCCGGCGGUUGUGGAUGGACUCGCGGCCUAUCAGCUUGUUGGUGGGGUAGUGGCCUACCAAGGCGGCGACGGGUAGCCGGCCUGAGAGGGUGACCGGCCACAUUGGGACUGAGAUACGGCCCAGACUCCUACGGGAGGCAGCAGUGGGGAAUAUUGCACAAUGGGCGCAAGCCUGAUGCAGCAACGCCGCGUGCGGGAUGACGGCCUUCGGGUUGUAAACCGCUUUCAGCAGGGACGAAGCUUUUUGUGACGGUACCUGCAGAAGAAGCACCGGCUAACUACGUG
rnacentral:rRNA from 1 species